UACAUGUCACUGUUGGAGCCCUCAG
rnacentral:piRNA from 1 species